rnacentral:rRNA from 1 species
UUGUGCCUACGGGGCGCAGCAGUGGGGAAUAUUGCACAAUGGGGGAAACCCUGAUGCAGCAACGCCGCGUGAGUGAAGAAGGUUUUCGGAUUGUAAAGCUCUGUUGGUAGUGAAGAAAGAUAGAGGUAGUAACUGGCCUUUAUUUGACGGUAAUUACUUAGAAAGUCACGGCUAACUACGUGCCAGCAGCCGCGGUAAUACGUAGGUGGCAAGCGUUGUCCGGAUUUAUUGGGCGUAAAGCGAGUGCAGGCGGGUCAAUAAGUCUG